rnacentral:rRNA from 1 species
GCAAGUCGAACGGGAAGUUAACCUUCGGGUUAAUGGAGAGUGGCGCACGGGUGAGUAACACGUGACUAACCUGCCCUGGAGAGGAGGAUAACCAUUGGAAACGAUGGCUAAUACUCCAUACGUUUAUGGUCAUUAGAAAGCCAUAAAGAAAUGCUCCGGUGCUCUGGGAUGGGGUUGCGGUCCAUCAGCUAGUUGGUAAGGUAAUGGCUUACCAAGGCGAAGACGGAUAGGGGGCCUGAGAGGGUGAUC